rnacentral:rRNA from 1 species
CCUACGGGGGGCAGCAGUGGGGGAUAUUGCACAAUGGGGGAAACUCUGAUGCAGCGACGCCGCGUGAGUGAAGAAGUAUUUCGGUACGUAAAGCUCUAUCAGCAGGGAAGAAAAUGACAGUAACUGACCAAUAAGCCCCGGCUAACUACGUGCCAGCAGCCGCGGUAUAACGUAGGGGGCAAGCGUGAUCCGGAUGUACGGGGUGUAAAGGGAGCGUAGACGGUUAUGUAAGUCUGGAGUGAAAGCCCGGGGCCCAACCCCGGGACUGCUCUGGAAACUGUGUAACUGGAGUACAGGAGGGGCAGGCGGAAUGCCUGGUGUAGCGGUGAAAUGCGUAGAUAUCAGGAGGAACACCGGCGGCGAAGGCGGCCUGCUGGACUGAAACUGACGUUGAGGCUCGAAAGCGUGGGGAGCAAACGGGAUUAGAUACCCGUGUAGUC